rnacentral:rRNA from 1 species
CGCCAGACUCCUACGGGAGGCAGCAGUGAGGAAUAUUGGUCAAUGGUCGGGAGACUGAACCAGCCAAGCCGCGUGAGGGAUGAAGGUACAGAGUAUCGUAAACCUCUUUUGUCAGGGAGCAAAGGGCGCCACGUGUGGCGUUUUGCGAGUACCUGAAGAAAAAGCAUCGGCUAACUCCGUGCCAGCAGCCGCGGUAAUACGGAGGAUGCGAGCGUUAUCCGGAUUUAUUGGGUUUAAAGGGUGCGCAGGCGGAAUGUCAAGUCAGCGGUAAAAUUUCGGGGCUCAACCCCGUCGUGCCGUUGAAACUGGCGUUCUUGAGUGAGCGAGAAGUAUGCGGAAUGCGUGGUGUAGCGGUGAAAUGCAUAGAUAUCACGCAGAACUCCGAUUGCGAAGGCAGCAUACCGGCGCUCAACUGACGCUCAUGCACGAAAGCGUGGGUAUCGAACAGGAUUAGAUACCCGUGUA